CCCUUAGAUGUCCUGGGCCGCACGCGUGCUACACUGAUGCAUACAGCGAGUACUCCCAGCUCCGCGAGGCUGCUGGUAAUCAGCAAUAUGCAUCGUGAUGGGGAUAGAUCUUUGGAAUUAUAGAUCUUGAACGAGGAAUUCCUAGUAAACGCAAGUCAUCACCUUGCGUUGACUAAGUCCCUGCCCUUUGUACACACCGCCCGUCGCCCCUACCGAUUUCGAGUGAUCCGGUGAAUCAUUCGGACCGCGUGGGCUUGACCUAACGUGGAAAGUCUAGUAAACCAUAUCACUUAGAGGAAGGAGAAGUCGUAACA
rnacentral:rRNA from 1 species